rnacentral:lncRNA from 1 species
UCAAACCAUUUAGGGUCUGACUGUCGCUGUGGGUCACAACUAUGUCCAAUAAUGCUUACCAACCGCCUCCUACAAAUGACCAUCAUCUAGUUAAUCAAACCAUCUCCCAAAAUAUCUCAGAGUUUGGAAGACUGAACCCUCCUCACUUCAAUGGUGGACCUGACCAAAGCAUGGAUUAUGCAGAUCGAGAAACAUUUCUCCAUUUUAG